rnacentral:rRNA from 1 species
CACGGGGGGAGCAAGCGUUGUUCGGAAUCACUGGGCGUAAAGGGCGUGUAGGCGGUCAAGUAAGUGGAAUGUGAAAGCCCCCGGCUUACCCGGGGAUCUGCAUCCCAAACUGCUUGGCUUGAGUACGGGAGAGGAUAGGGGAAUUCCUGGUGUAGCGGUGAAAUGCGUAGAUAUCAGGAGGAACACCGGUGGCGAAGGCGCCUAUCUGGCCCGAUACUGACGCUGAGGCACGAAAGCGUGGGGAUCAAACAGG